rnacentral:rRNA from 1 species
AACGCUGGCGGCGUGCCUAAUACAUGCAAGUCGAACGAACGGAGGAAGAGCUUGCUCUUCCAAWGUUAGUGGCGGACGGGUGAGUAACACGUGGGCAACCUGCCUGUAAGUUGGGGAUAACUCCGGGAAACCGGGGCUAAUACCGAAUGAUARARUGUGGCGCAUGCCACGCUUUUGAAAGAUGGUUUCGGCUAUCGCUUACAGAUGGGCCCGCGGUGCAUUAGCUAGUUGGUAGGGUAAUGGCCUACCAAGGCAACGAUGCAUAGCCGACCUGAGAGGGUGAUCGGCCACACUGGGACUGAGACACGGCCCAGACUCCUACGGGAGGCAGCAGUAGGGAAUCUUCCGCAAUGGACGAAAGUCUGACGGAGCAACGCCGCGUGUAUGAAGAAGGUUUUCGGAUCGUAAAGUACUGUUGUUAGAGAAGAACAAGGAUAAGAGUAACUGCUUGUCCCUUGACGGUAUCUAACCAGAAAGCCACGGCUAACU